rnacentral:antisense_RNA from 1 species
CUUUAUGGCGGGCCGUGCGGGUAGCCUUCGGGCUGGCCGGUUUCUUUCUUGUCCGGUUUUUGUGACCCCGCGCGGCCUGCCUCCCUA